rnacentral:rRNA from 1 species
UAGGGAAUCUUCCACAAUGGACGCAAGUCUGAUGGAGCAACGGCCGCGUGAGUGAAGAAGGUUUUCGGACCGUAAAGCUCUGUUGUUGGCGAAGAAGGAUAGAGGUAGUAAACUGGCCUUUAUUUGACGGUAAUCAACCAGAAAGUCACGGCUAACUACGUGCCAGCAGCCGCGGUAAUCGUAGGUGGCAAGCGUUGUCCGGAUUUAUUGGGCGUAAAGCGAGCGCAGGCGGAAGAAUAAGUCUGAUGUGAAAGCCCUCGGCUUAACCGAGGAAUUGCAUCGGAAACUGUUUUCUGAGUGCAGAAGAGGAGAGUAGAACUCCAUGUGUAGCGGUGGAAUGCGUAGAUAUAUGGAAGAAUACCAGUGGCGAAGGCGGCUCUCUGGUCUGCAAACUGACGCUGAGGCUCGAAAAGCAUGGGUAGCGAACAGGAUUAGAUACCCUGGUAGUCCAUGCCGUAAAACGAUGAGUGCUAAGUGUUGGGAGGCUUCCGCCUCUCAGUGCUGCAGCUAACGCAUUAAGCACUCCGCCUGGGGGAGUACGACCGCAAGGUUGAAAC